GACGGGGGGGGCAAGUGUUCUUCGGAAUGACUGGGCGUAAAGGGCACGUAGGCGGUGAAUCGGGUUGAAAGUGAAAGUCGCCAAAAAGUGGCGGAAUGCUCUCGAAACCAAUUCACUUGAGUGAGACAGAGGAGAGUGGAAUUUCGUGUGUAGCGGUGAAAUGCGUAGAGAUGUGGAGGAACACCAGUGGCGAAGGCGACUCUUUGGCCUGUAACUGACGCUGAGGCGCGAAAGCGUGGGGAGCAAACAGG
rnacentral:rRNA from 1 species